rnacentral:rRNA from 1 species
UUCUAUUAGUCUUAAUUAAUCGUAUCCUCUCCUCCAUGAUUAUUAAAUAGCCCCCAAUAUUUUGUGCUAAGGUAGCAUUCUCAUUUACAAACCAAAUGGAGACUUGUAUAAAAGAUUGAACAAUUUAAUUUAUUUCUUUUACUUAAUAUUUUAAAUUUUUCUAAAUGUAAAAAAACAUUUAUUUAAAAGAAAGACGAUAAGACCCUAUUGAAUUUAACUUUAGUUAAACUGGGGUAGUAAAUUAAUUAAAAUUUUAAUUUUAAUAUUUACAUAAAAUAUCUAAUACAAUUAAAAUAAAUCAAAUUACCAUAGGGAUAACAGCGUAAUAUUUUUUAUAAGCUCUUAUAAAAAUUAAUGUUUACGACCUCGAUGUUGAAUAAUAGUCUAAUUUACGCAAGAGUAAAGAAAGAAGGGGGGGGCGACCUUAAAAGAAUGACA